UACGGAGGGGGCUAGCGUUGUUCGGAAUUACUGGGCGUAAAGCGCGCGUAGGCGGCUUUGUAAGUUAGAGGUGAAAGCCCGGAGCUCAACUCCGGAAUUGCCUUUAAGACUGCAUCGCUAGAAUCAUGGAGAGGUGAGUGGAAUUCCGAGUGUAGAGGUGAAAUUCGUAGAUAUUCGGAAGAACACCAGUGGCGAAGGCGACUCACUGGACAUGUAUUGACGCUGAG
rnacentral:rRNA from 1 species